rnacentral:rRNA from 1 species
AGCGAACGCUGGCGGCAGGCCUAACACAUGCAAGUCGAACGAACCUUUCGGGGUUAGUGGCGGACGGGUGAGUAACACGUGGGAACGUGCCUUUAGGUUCGGAAUAACUCAGGGAAACUUGUGCUAAUACCGAAUGUGCCCUUCGGGGGAAAGAUUUAUCGCCUUUAGAGCGGCCCGCGUCUGAUUAGCUAGUUGGUUGAGGUAAUGGCUCACCAAGGCGACGAUCAGUAGCUGGUCUGAGAGGAUGAUCAGCCACAUUGGGACUGAGACACGGCCAAAACUCCACCGGGAGGAGGCGGGGGGAAAUCUUGCGAAAGGGCGAAAGGCCGGACGAACCCGUGCCGGGUGAAGGAUAAGGUUCUAAGAUUUGAAAAUUUUUUCCCCGGGGGACGAUAAGGCGGGUCCCGGAAAAAGAGCCCCCGGCAACCUUCGUC